AACGAACGCUGGCGGCAUGCCUAACACAUGCAAGUCGAACGAUGCCUCCGGGCAUGGUGGCGCACGGGUGCGUAACGCGGGGGAAUCUGCCCUUGUGUUCGGAAUAACUCGCCUACAUGGGAGCUAAUACCGGGUAAUUUCCUAUGACCAAAUAUAUAACGCCCAAGGAUGAGCCGGCGUUGGAUUAGCUAGUUGGUAGGGUAAAAGCCCACCAAGGCGAGGAUCCUUAGCUGGGCUGAGAGAAUGGGCAGCCACUCUGGGAGGGAGACACGGCCGAGACUACUAGGGGAGGGGGCAGUGGGUAAUAUAGGAAUACGGGGGAGGGCAUGAACGAGCAAGGCCGGGUGAGUGAUGAAGGUGUUAGGGAAGUAAAGCUCUUUUACCCGGGAUGAUAAUGACAGUACCGGAAGAAUAAGCACCGGCUAACUCCGUG
rnacentral:rRNA from 1 species